AGUGAACGCUGGCGGUAGGCCUAACACAUGCAAGUCGAACGGCAGCACAGUAAGAGCUUGCUCUUACGGGUGGCGAGUGGGGGACGGGUGAGGAAUACAUCGGAAUCUACUUUUUCGUGGGGGAUAACGUAGGGAAACUUACGCUAAUACCGCAUACGACCUACGGGUGAAAGCAGGGGAUCUUCGGACCUUGCGCGAUUGAAUGAGCCAAUGUCGGAUUAGCUAGUUGGCGGGGUAAAGGCCCACCAAGGCGACGAUCCGUAGCUGGUCUGAGAGGAUGAUCAGCCACACUGGAACUGAGACACGGUCCAGACUCCUACGGGAGGCAGCAGUGGGGAAUAUUGGACAAUGGGCGCAAGCCUGAUCCAGCCAUACCGCGUGGGUGAAGAAGGCCUUCGGGUUGUAAAGCCCUUUUGUUGGGAAAGAAAAGCAGCAGGUUAAUACCCCGCUGUUCUGACGGUACCCAAAGAAUAAGCACCGGCUAACUUCGUG
rnacentral:rRNA from 1 species